GGGUCAGUAGGUUGGUCGUGCCACCGGUACGUACUGGUCUCACUGAUUCCUCCUUCCUGAAGAACCGUAAUGCCAUUAAUUUGGUGUUGCGGGGAAACAGGACUGUUACUUUGAAAAAAUUAGAGUGUUUAAAGCAAGCUAACGCUUGAAUACAUUAGCAUGGAAUAAUGAAAUAGGACGAUCGAUCCUAUUUUGUUGGUUUCUAGGAUUGACGUAAUGAUUAAUAGGGAUAGUAGGC
rnacentral:rRNA from 1 species